GUGUCAACAGGAAUUGGAAAGUAAAUAAAUAAAAACAGACGAAGAAAACGGAAAAUUUGGGAAGCAUUAUUUACUCCUUCACAGAGAAAAAAGGGUUCAUUUGUUAUUUAGCAAGUUGACUGAAAUAAACGGUAACGGUUUAUGGAAGUACACACAAUAUAACGUAGAACGUGUUCCUGUAUAGGCCUAUAUAUAAUUUAUGAUAUUGCUGAGACUAUUAUUAGAAAUAAAGCUAAAUGGAAUCAGAAGACAGUACUUUAUUUCCAAAUUGGGAUGAUGAAAUGAGUGAUUCCGAUCAGAUAACACUAACCACCUCCAUCAUCAGUGUAGUUGUAUUCUCUAUAAUAGUAAGUCUAGGUAUCCUUUGUUGUUGCUGCUGCUGUAGAAAAAGACGUAACUAUGGCGGCACUGUUUAUCGUGAGGCGCCACAGAAUACUACGACUAUAACAACUUAUCCGCAGCAGAGUGUCCAAUACCCAACGCAGGCACCGUAUCUUGGUGCUCAACCAGUGCCACCCGGACAAUAUAUGCCACCCGGACAAUAUAUGCCACCCCAACAACAGCCAUACUAUCCACCACAAGGUCAACCAUCUUAUCAACAAGGUUAUCUACCACCUCAAUAUCCUACAGCCCCACCCCAACAAUAUCCUCCCUAUCCACAGGCUGGUUAUCAACAACAAACAUUUCAAAAAGUAAUGUCGGAACCACCUCCACCAUACAGUGAUGCUCCACUCAUGCAGAAAGCCUCAGCACCACCUCCUGAAUAAAUAUGAUAAGUUGUUAAUAUUUAAAGUAAGACAUGCAUGAUUUGCAUUUUUGGGAAAAUAUCAAAUUUUGCGUGGUUUAAUCCAUGGGAAUUUGUACUCAGAUUGAUUACCUAAUAUUUAAUUAACCCUUUAUUAACCGUCAGACGUUCCAUAUGGAAUAUUUCAGGAGGCCAUUUUGCAGGUCAUGACAUAUAAGUAAAAGUGACAAAAAAUGUUAAAUAUGUUAUACCAUUCAAUAGAGGAAUUCAAGAUCUUUUCAAAAAUAUAUAUUUGUAUGAUUUAUUCUUAAAUUUAAAGAGUUACAGGAUAUAUUCUUAACUAUAUGCUUUUUUCUAGUCGAAACACCAAAACAAUCCAACGGUUAAAGGGUUCAGAAAACAAAUUCGUCAUAACUUUGUAAAUACUGAACAGAAUCAAGCCACAAUUGGGCUGAUAUAACUAUUAGAUCUCCAACUUUCACAAUAUUGUUGUUUGCAAGGGAUUCCUAUAGCUCACUAAAAUAACGCAUAGAGUUUUUAAGUAUCGUAAAUUGAAAUUAUGUACAUACAUGUCUUAUAGAUUAAUCAUUCUCAUCUCCAUUGGUUUCAUAUUAUAUCCUACACCAUUAUUUGAGAAAUCUGUAUUUAAAUUGUGUGUGCUUGUAGUAACUUACAAUUAUUAAUUCAUGAUUAUCCAGGUUUUCAGAAUUGCUAAUGUUGGUCUUACACAGUGGCGAAUAUUGUGGCAAAAAGGAUUUAUAAGAAAUUUGCAAGAAUUUAAUAAGAAAUUUGCAAGGCUUUGUACGAAAUUUGCAAGGAUACAGAAGAAAUUCGCAAAUAUUGAUAAACAUUUUUUCAGCAUUUCUCUAGGCCUAUAUUAUAAUUUUUGGUGAAUUUGCCGUGAAUUUAAAAUGAUCACAUUGACAACGAUAUUCUUCACUGUGUGAGAGUAGCAGAAGAUAAUGUGGGCAAGAUAAUCAGGUCUUUAUCUCAAUAUCAUAAACCAAAUCAAAAUCUAUGUUCAUAAGGAAAACAAUUCACCGGUAAAUUCACAGUAGAUUAAACCGAUGCACAUUGCUCAAUGGAUACUAUAUAACCAGAAACGAAAUGUAGAAUCCCAAGUACUUUUUAUUAGAUCACAAAUGUUUAUGUUUCAGUGAUUUCAUUUUUGGUAUAUAUUUUGAAGUUUUUAAUAAACUAUAACAUAUACGUAUGGCAAACCAGCUACUUAUUUAUUUAGUUAAUUAGUUUGUUUUUGUAGAUUGUCAUUCCCUCGAGUCCAUGUCCUUUGAUCUUGUUGUUGUCAUGUAUGAGGGGGGUGGAUGGCCAAAUGGUCAGCACUGUAUCAUAGGGUCUGUCAUUGAGUCAACUGGCAUGGUUUUGAUUCCCUAGUGGUACGUGACAAGGAGUAGGGUCGCCUGUCCAACCUUGUGGGUUUUCUCCAUGUUAGUCCCGAAAUGACCUAGUUUGUGUCAAGUGGACUUAAAGCCAUUUCCCUCUCUCUCUCUCCCUUGUCAUGUAUGGUUUCAUGAAUUGUUGUUAGGCAGUAGCUGUCUUUCCAUAAGUAUGUGUUAUAGUUUAUUAUUUUAUCCAGUUACUAAAUGCCUCUAAAAGAUUCUAUUUAUAGUAUUUUAAGGUAAAAAAUUAUAAAUUCUAAUUUUAGGGGAUGUAAAUUGACUGGUCAUUUUCACUACUAGUCAAAUGAAGAUUAGUAAAUUUGACAUUCAAUAUUUGAGAGGUCCCUCCAAAAACAUAACUUUUCAAAUUUCACAAAGAAAAUGUAAACAUAUAUAGAGUUAGUCUCCACACAAAUCAAUCAACAUUAUUCAACAUUUUAUUUUUCUGUCGAUAGUCCUAUUUUUAGGAUUAAAAUUGUUUUAUGUACUUGGUUAAAGACUUAAAGUUACAUUAUAAGAGAGUAUAUAUUCAUAUAUAUGUGCCAAAUAGAACUAAAUAAUCCCACCAGCUGUUAUUUCAUUAAAUAAAUGAAAUGAAAUGAAAUGGGGUUUAACGUCCCACUGUUCUGCUCCUAAACUGGGCUAAUGAAGACGGGCAUACGCCAUACAGUGUGCUAUGAGAGAAAUUUUGCCCGGGCAGCGGCACUAUGGCCUACUCUUAUAUCGAAUUCCAACUCCCACCAGCUGUUAUUUCAUUAAAUAAAUGAAAUGAAAUGAAAUGGGGUUUAACGUCCUACUGUUCUGCUCCUAAACUGGGCUAAUGAAGAUGGGCAUACGCCAUACAGUGUGCUAUGAGAGAAAUUUUGCCCGGGCAGCGGCACUAUGGCCUACUCUUAUAUCGAAUUCCAACUGCCAAGGGAUCUUUUACGUGCACGCCAAUGUGUACACAGGACCUCAUUUUUUCGUACAAUCCGAAUGACUAGACAGCAGUCCUUGUCAGGCCCUUCAUUAAAUAAAGGUUAUGAUUCAGACUCAAUUUUGUCUGUUAAAAAUAACCAUUGAUUAUUCACUACAACUUGGGAAUCAUUUAGUUGUAUUUUUUUAACAGGAGUUUUUGUAUUUAAUGUUUAGUUUCAACUUUCAAGCCAUUGUUGGAAAA